UACGUAGGGUGCGAGCGUUGUCCGGAAUUAUUGGGCGUAAAGGGCUCGUAGGCGGUCUGUCGCGUCGGGAGUGAAAACUCAGGGCUUAACCCUGAGCCUGCUUCCGAUACGGGCAGACUAGAGGUAUGCAGGGGAGAACGGAAUUCCUGGUGUAGCGGUGAAAUGCGCAGAUAUCAGGAAGAACACCCGUGGCGAAGGCGGCUCUCUGGAACGCAACUGACGCUGAGACGCGAAAGCGUGGGGAGCAAACAGG
rnacentral:rRNA from 1 species